CCAGACUCCUACGGGAGGCAGCAGUGAGGAAUAUUGGUCAAUGGGCGAGAGCCUGAACCAGCCAAGUCGCGUGAGGGAGUACUGCCCUAUGGGUUGUAAACCUCUUUUGUCGGGGAGCAAAAGCCGGACGUGUCCGGCUGUGAGAGUACCCGAAGAAAAAGCAUCGGCUAACUCCGUGCCAACAGCCGCGGUAAUACGGAGGAUGCGAGCGUUAUCCGGAUUUAUUGGGUUUAAAGGGUGCGCAGGCGGAUUUUUAAGUCAGCGGUCAAAUCGUGGGGCUCAACCCCAUCCAGCCGUUGAAACUGGGUGCCUUGAGUGGGCGAGAAGUACGCGGAAUGCGUGGUGUAGCGGUGAAAUGCAUAGAUAUCACGCAGAACUCCGAUUGCGAAGGCAGCGUACCGGCGCCCAACUGACGCUGAAGCACGAAGGCGUGGGUAUCGAACAGGAUUAGAUACCCCCGUAAC
rnacentral:rRNA from 1 species